CUGGUGUACCAGUUAUCGUACCAACGGUAAACGCUGGGUAGCCAAGUGCGGAGCGGAUAACCGCUGAAAGCAUCUAAGUGGGAAGCCCACCUCAAGAUGAGUGCUCUCACUACGUAAGUAGGUAAGGUCACGGGCAGAACACCCGUUCAUAGGCGGUAGGUGGAAGUGCAGCAAUGCAUGUAGCCGAGCCGUGCUAAUAGACCGAGGGCUUGACCUCU
rnacentral:rRNA from 1 species